GACGAACGCUGGCGGCGUGCUUAACACAUGCAAGUCGAACGGAAAGGCCCUGCUUUUGUGGGGUGCUCGAGUGGCGAACGGGUGAGUAAAACGUGAGUAACCUGCCCUUGACUUUGGGAUAACUUCAGGAAACUGGGGCUAAUACAGGAUAGGAGCUCCUGCUGCAUGGUGGGGGUUGGAAAGUUUCGGCGGUUGGGGAUUGAGUGGCGGCGUAUCAGCUUGUUGGUGGGGUAGUGGAUUACCAAGGCUUUGACGGGUAGCCGGCCUGGGAGGGUGACCGGGCACAAUGGGACUGAGGGACGGCGCAGACUCCAACGGGAGGCAGCGGGGGGGAAUAUGGCACAAUGGGCGGGAGCCUGAUGCAGCAGCGCCGCGUGCGGGAUGACGGCCUUCGGGUUGUAAACCGCUUUCGCCUGUGACGAAGCGGGAGUGACGGUAAUGGGUAAAGAAGCACCGGCUAACUACGUG
rnacentral:rRNA from 1 species